CCGAUGCGAAGGCAGGUCUCUGGGCUGUAACUGACGCUGAGGAGCGAAAGCAUGGGGAGCGAACAGGAUUAGAUACCCUGGUAGUCCAUGCCGUAAACGUUGGGCACUAGGUGUGGGGGACAUUCCACGUUUUCCGCGCCGUAGCUAACGCAUUAAGUGCCCCGCCUGGGGAGUACGGCCGCAAGGCUAAAACUCAAAGGAAUUGACGGGGGCCCGCACAAGCGGCGGAGCAUGCGGAUUAAUUCGAUGCAACGCGAAGAACCUUACCAAGGCUUGACAUGAACCGGAAAGACCUGGAAACAGGUGCCCCGCUUGCGGUCGGUUUACAGGUGGUGCAUGGUUGUCGUCAGCUCGUGUCGUGAGAUGUUGGGUUAAGUCCCGCAACGAGCGCAACCCUCGUUCUAUGUUGCCAGCGCGUGAUGGCGGGGACUCAUAGGAGACUGCCGGGGUCAACUCGGAGGAAGGUGGGGACGACGUCAAAUCAUCAUGCCCCUUAUGUCUUGGGCUUCACGCAUGCUACAAUGGCCGGUACAAAGGGUUGCGAUACUGUGAGGUGGAGCUAAUCCCAAAAAGCCGGUCUCAGUUCGGAUUGGGGUCUGCAACUCGACCCCAUGAAGUCGGAGUCGCUAGUAAUCGCAGAUCAGCAACGCUGCGGUGAAUACGUUCCCGGGCCUUGUACACACCGCGCGUAAGUCACGAAAGUUGGUAACACCCGAAGCCGGUGGCCUAACCCUUGUGGGGGGAGCCGUCCAAGGUGGGACCCGCAUUGGGACUAA
rnacentral:rRNA from 1 species